rnacentral:rRNA from 1 species
AACGAACGCUGGCGGUAUGCUUUACACAUGCAAGUCGAACGAACUGUUGGUAGCUUGCUAUCAACAGUUAGUGGCAAACGGGUGAGUAACGCGUGGGAAUCUGCCCUAUAGUACGGAAUAGCCGUUGGAAACGACGAUUAAUACCGUAUAUCUUUCCCAGGAAGAAAGACUUGUCGCUAUAGGAUGAGCCCACGUUAGAUUAGUUUGUGGUAGGGUAAUGGCCUACCAGACUACGAUCUAUAGCUAGGUUUGAGAGAUGAUCAGCCAC